GAUGAACGCUGGCGGCGUGCCUAAUACAUGCAAGUCGAGCGAAUGGAUUAAGAGCUUGCUCUUAUGAAGUUAGCGGCGGACGGGUGAGUAACACGUGGGUAACCUGCCCAUAAGACUGGGAUAACUCCGGGAAACCGGGGCUAAUACCGGAUAAUAUUUUGAACUGCAUGGUUCAAAAUUGAAAGGCGGCUUCGGCUGUCACUUAUGGAUGGACCCGCGUCGCAUUAGCUAGUUGGUGAGGUAACGGCUCACCAAGGCAACGAUGCGUAGCCGACCUGAGAGGGUGAUCGGCCACACUGGGACUGAGACACGGCCCAGACUCCUACGGGAGGCAGCAGUAGGGAAUCUUCCGCAAUGGACGAAAGUCUGACGGAGCAACGCCGCGUGAGUGAUGAAGGCUUUCGGGUCGUAAAACUCUGUUGUUAGGGAAGAACAAGUGCUAGUUGAAUAAGCUGGCACCUUGGCGGUACCUAACCAGAAAGCCACGGCUAACUACGUGCCAGCAGCCGCCGUAA
rnacentral:rRNA from 1 species